ncrna:unclassified sequences Twister-sister ribozyme sequence
ACAGACCGCCAGACCCGGCUUAUCGCAAGAUAAGCUAUGACCCGUGCAAGCCGGGUGCGCCUCCCGCGUGGAGGCGCGGUGCUUAUGGUCAAGGA